rnacentral:rRNA from 1 species
CUAGCCGUAAACGAUGGAUACUAGGCGUUGUGAGUAUCGACCCUCACAGUGUCGUAGCUAACGCGUUAAGUAUCCCGCCUGGGGAGUACGCGCGCAAGCGUGAAACUCAAAGGAAUUGACGGGGGCCCGCACAAGCGGUGGAGUAUGUGGUUUAAUUCGAUGCAACGCGAAGAACCUUACCAGGACUUGACAUGUCGCGAAUCUCAGGGAAACUUGGGAGUGCCUUCGGGAGCGCGAACACAGGUGGUGC